rnacentral:lncRNA from 1 species
UUUUGUUUGAAGAGUGGGAGGGAUCGGGAGCUUGGGCUUAUCAGACACAACUUAGAAUAGAUUUACAAGGAGAUCCUGCUGAAUAGCAUUGAGAACUAUGUCUAGAUACUCAUGUUGCAACAGAAGAAAGGGUGGGGGAAAAACUGUAAUUGUAAUGUAUACAUGUAAGGAUAACCUGACCCCCUUGCUGUACAGUGGGAAAAUAAAAAAAUAAAUAAAAAAAUAAAAAAAUAAAAUAAAAUUAUAAAUUGAAAUUGCAAUGAGGUACCACUAACUCUUACCCAAGUGGAAAAAUUAAAAAGUCAGGCUGCAUUAUAUAGUUAAAUAAGAAGGUGUAAAAUGCACUGCAGUGCUACACACUAAAUGAUCCCAAUUUUAUUAUCUAGAUAUUUUGAUGUACAUGUAGGCUUAAAAAUGCAUACACACAAACAUGAACGAAAAUAAACAUAAAAUAUUAACAGGAAAAAAAAAAAAGCCAGGCUGCUGAGGAUAUGGAUUCCUGAGGAUUUUUACACUGACAGUAGCAGUGUAAACUACUCUUUGGAAAACAAUUUGUUAUAACCUAGUGAAGCUGAAUACCAUGACCCAGCAAUCCUAUGCCUAAGGGUAUAUCUUAGAGAAACUCUUCAAGAAGACACCUUAAACUGGGAGUUUGGGGUUAGUAGUUACAAACUAUUGCAUUUUGAGUGGAUAAGAAAUGAGAUCCUGCUGUACAUGGCAGAGAACUAGAUCUAGUCACUUGCGCUGGAACAUGAUGGGGGAUAAUGAGAGAAAAAAUGUAUAUAUAUAUAUGUAUGACUGGGUCACUUUGCUAUACAACAGAAAUUGAUAGGACAUUAUAAAUCAACUAUAACAGAAAAAAUAAAAAUCUUUUUUUUUUUUUUGUCUUUUUGCCUUUUCUAGGGCCGCACCCGCAUGGCAUAUGAAGAUUCCCAGGGAGCGGCCCUAGAAAAGGCAAAAAAAAAAAAAAAAAAAAAAAAAAAAAAAGUACAAAAAACCCAAAUGUUCAUCAAUAUUAUAAAUGUAUAAAUAAUUAUAUGUAUUAUUAUUAUAUCACAGAAUAGCACUGUGGCAAUAAAAGCAAAUUGAAAACAGGUAUACAACUCAGAUAAAUCUCAAGAUAACAUUAAGCAAAACAAAAACAAACAAAAACCCAAAAAUGGACAGAAGAUACAGACUAUGAUCCCAUUUAUGCAAAGGUCACAAACAGGUAAACUAAACAAACAAAAAUGGGGUAAAAACAUGACAAUCACAAAAGAUCAGGAAUCACUAUCAAAUAGUUUCAAAUAUUGCUAUUGUAGGUCUAAAAUUCCCAACUUGCCGUGUCUGUUUCCCCAUCAGAGUUGUUCAAAGCAGGUGCCCAUUUUGCUUCACUAAUUAAGCAAAAAUUCAUGACUAUCUCUACCCUAAACAAGCUUAUGGAGAAUGAAUGUGUGAUAAAAGCCUAUGAAGCACUUGGUACUGUGCUUGGUGUUUUACACUCACUGCAUGUUUUUCCUUUUAGACAGAGCAUAAGCAUUUAAUAAUUAAAAAUAAUAACAUACUGUAAGUACCAUUUAUGCCAGGUGCUGUGCUAAAGGCUUUAGAGUAAUGUGAAUUUAAUCCUUGCAAUUUUGAAGUAAAUACUAUUACUACCAUCCCAAUGGGUACUAAUAUUAUCACCCUGCUAAUAACAAUAAAGCUAGGAGGUAACAUUUUUGACCCCUUACUAAUGUCAGACACCAGGCUAAAGCUUUAUAAUCAAUCUAUUUCAAUCCUCAGGACAAACCCAUAAAGUAGGUAUCAUCCCUCAUGGAUAGUAUUUCCAUUGCCAAUUCCAGGAUAAGAAAACUAAGGGGGAGGAUGAGGUAAAUAACAAGAAGCAAAAUCUAGUAACUCAAGGUCAUAAUAAGUAAUAAUAAUAAAGGAUAGAGUUAGGAUGUGACUCUUUGUCUGACUCUUGUCUGUCUGCCUGUAUUAAGCCACUUUCAUACUCAUUUUAUUUAACAUUCAUAAGCCCUGUAAAGAAAAUAUAAUAUAGGAGUUAAGAGCACAGAUUCUGAAAGAUGUGAACCCAUAACCUCGCUCUAUUAUGUUUCAAUUGUGAAAUGAGUAUAAGCUCCUCUGUAAUAUAAAACAGAGGCUUUUUUUUUGUUUUGUUUUAUGGCUGCACCUGUGGCACAUGGAAGUUCCAGACCAGGGGUCCGAAUCAGAGCUGAAACUGCUGGCCUACGCCACAGCCACGGCAACACCAGAUCCAAGCCAUAUCUGCAACCUACACCGCGGCUUGCAGUAACGCCAGACCCUUAACCCAGUAAGUGAGGCCAGGGAUUGAACCUGCAUCCUCAUGGAUACUCAGUUGGGUUUUUAACCCACCGGGCCACAAUGGGAACCCCUAAAAUGGAGUUUUUCUCAAAGUACCUAUGGGUAAGUGUGAAAGGGUGGCUAUGAAAAUUAAAUGAGAUAAGGCAUGCAAAGAACUUAACACAGUGCCUGGCACACAACAAAUACUGAUUAAAUACUGGAUGAUAUUACCAUAGUCAUUAUCACCAUCUUCUCCAUUUUACUGACUGAAAAAAAUGGAGACAAAGAGGGGGACAGUAGUUUAUCCACUAUUACAAAACCAGUUAGUGUCAGUGAAAGAAUUUUAAACACAGGUCUAACCAGCUUUAAUGUCUGAACUCUUUUCCAUUUGCGAAGACAUCUUAAAAAGGUGCAGGAAGCACAACCUGGACAGAGGGAGAUCUUCCUUAGGGAACGGAGACUCAAGCUGAAUGCUGAAAUACAGCGUGAGCUGAUCAGAUGAAGAAGUGAAAAAUGGAGUUCUCUUGUGGCACAGUGGUUUAAAGAUAAAGUGAUUUCACUGCAGUGGCUUGCGUUGGGGCUGUGGCCUAGGAACUUCCAAAUGCUACAGUACAGCCCAAAAAAAAAAAAAAAAAAAAGUGAGGAAAACACUGCAGACAGGGGGAGCAAUACGCAACACAUCCCAGAGAGUGAGAAACAAAAAUUUAGAGUCUGCAAGUGAAGCAAACAUAAGCAGCAUGAUUUUGAACAGUGGUUCUUAAAGUCAAAUCUCCGAACAAGGAACAUAGCACCACCUAGGAAGCUGCCACAAAUGCAAAUUAUUGGGCCUACACCAGAUCUGAAUCAGAAACUCUGGGUCUUUUAAAAAGUCCUUUAGGUGACUCUAAUGUAUGACUGAUGUUUGAGAAGAUGAUUUUGAGCAAUGAUGGAAUGCAAUGUUGUUUUUCAAAAAUAAUGAAAUCAUCCUUCAUCAGUCAGGUAAUUCAGAAAAGGGAGAGGACCAUAAUACCUGGAUAGGAACUAGCUAUAAUACCUACAAUGUGCUUAACUUUUCUUCAAUAGCAGUUAAUUUUACAGGUUAUCCUACUUACAGAUCAAAUCUGCCCUAUGCUUCAUCUUAGAAGAACAUUCGCAAACAGGCUUACAUUUGAAAUCUUAAAAAAAUUUUUUUGCAUCAGAAGAAUCUUCUAACUUUUAUACCCUGAAAGGUCAAACUUAUACCUACUAAAACUAAGUAUCUUUGGAACUAUUAUAGGGCUAACCUCUUAAAAAUGUAUCAUUUCUAGGAGUUCCUUGGUGGCCUAGUGGUUAAGGAUUCAGCAUUUUCCCACAGCCACACAGGAUCCAAGCCACAUCUACGACCUACACCACAGCUCAUGGCAACACCAGAUCCUUAACCCACUGACCGAAUUCGUUUCCACUGAGCCACAAUGGGAACUCCCUGCCUGGUUUUAUUUUACUUCAUGUUUAAAAAAUGCUAUUAGGGAGUUCCUGUUGUGGCUCAGUGGUAAUGAACCCAACUAGCAUCCGUGAGGAUGCGCACUUGAACCCUGGCCCUGUUCAGUGGGUUGAGGAUCUAGCAUUGCCAUAAGCUGUGGUGUAGAUUGCAGACACGGCUCGGAUCUGGCGUUGCUGUGGCUGUGAUGUAGGCUGGCAGCUGCAGCUCCAAUCUGACGCCUAGCCUGGGAACUUCCAUAUGCCACGGGUGCAGCCCUAAAAGAGGGGGGAAAAAAGAUAUUAGCUAUGAAACAAAGGCUACAUUUUGGGCUCAGGUGGGACUGAGUUUGGAUGACUUCCAUUAUAUAGCAGGAGGGAAGGCCUUUCAAUUCAGGCAUAUUAGGUCCCAGCAGUUCCCUAGGUCCUUCUGUGCCCCUAGGUUGGGCCAGAAGUAACACCACAAGAAGCUCUCAUUUCUAUUCCACUUCUCUUUGGACACUGUAGGAGUGGAGUUAGACAUUACUCUGCUACAGUUACUCCUAGUAUUAUCUCUUAAUGGCUCAUUUGGCUAAGGAAGGAAAAGACAUUCUAGAUAGUCAUGGAAGAACCACAACACUCCAACUAUGAGUCCUCCAAGGAGCACAAUAUCCUAUGAGUCAAAAUAGAAUGCUCUUCCUUUUAUCUGGGAGCAUGCUCCACAGGCAGGAUUUAGCAAUGCCUGGAAACAUUUUUGGUUGCCACUACUUGGUAGGAGAGCAUAUGGUUGCUACUGGUAUCUACUGAGUAGAGGCCAGGGAUGCUGCUAAACAUCCCACAAUGAACAGGGCACCAUCCCCCCCACCCCCGUCCAACAAAGAAUUACCUGGCCCAGAAUGUCAAUACUGCCAAAGUUGAGAAUGUCGCUUUAUUUCUCAGUUCGACACUACAGUAUCCAGGAAGGCCUUCCUGAACAGCCCAGACUGGGUUAGGCACCUCUUCUUAGCUUCCCAUAGUACUUAGUUAGCACUGUAUCAUAUAGCAAUUUAUGUCUUUGUUAGAUCAUGGAUACCUUUAGGGGAGAGACUUUUGGACUUUGCCUGGCACAUAGUAGGUGCUCAGUAAAGUAGCAGAGGCUGCUAUCUGCCUAUCCUAAUAUCUAUUCCUUUCCCUAAAACAAACAUUAACUCUCAGGUGGACACAUGGUCACUACAUCCCUCAGCCUUUUAUUUAUGGCCCUAAGACUAAAUUACAGCCAGUGCAACACAAGAAGGGCUACCUGGAAACUUCUAGCAAAUGUCCUUAAAAAAACACUAAAUGCCCUUGCUUAUAUGCCUACCCGGCUGCUCAGGACACAAAUGAUAUAUCUGGAACUCUAGCUUGGCCCAGGGGGAUGAUGUGCCUUGGUCUGCCUUCUUUUAUGUAACAGCCACUAUUUUGUUUAAAAGCACUGUUACCUUGGAUCUCUAUCUUUUGCAAAGACACAUAAUCUAAAUCAAUAAAUGAGCUAAUACUCAACUUUUUUGCCAUCAAUUGCUAUGUUCUUCAAGAAAAGUGCGAGCUGUACUUUAUAUUAAUUUAUAUUCUUGUUCCGCUUCUUAUUUUUCACUGAAACACUCUGAAAUACAAUUUUCCUCUACUGUUUUCCUUUUACAACCUAAUUUGCUGUCAGUUGUAUCCCUUGUUUAUUCAAUUACCCUUCUCCAGCUAAGGGUUCUCAGCUAUUUAUCUUUUCCAUUUUACUUGUUAAAGCUGCAUAGCAAUUUCAAUAAAUUCAAAAGCAUUUCUCUUAGAUAAUAUCUGAUUAACAACUAAAUAUACAGAUACAUUUACUGUUUUCAUAAAAGAUCAGUAAUCCAAUUGCUCUAUGAUAAUUUUAGGUAGAAAAACGUAGUAUUUAUAAAAACCUUUUGGGAUAUUUUAACCUGAGCUCACAGAGCUCAGGUAAUUUGCAUGCUAUUAAUUUUACAAACUGUAGAAGUGAUCCAAAUUUGCAUAAAUAUAGCCUGUCUUUCUUUUAACUUGCUCAUCAUAUUCUUGUUAUCCUUUCAUUUCAAAAAUCUUUCACGUAGACAUUUUGUUAUCUUUCUCUGGUAAUCCCAUAAGGUAUAAAAUUUUUAAAUUUCCAAACUAAAUUCCACUUUGGAAACUGAAAAAAAAAUUCUAAAUUUAAUAAAUAACUAUUCUACUCCCUCAAAAGUAUCUCCAUCUCUGGAGUUCCUGUGUGGGCACAGUGGAAAUGAAUCCAACUAUUAUCCAUGAGGAUGCAGGUUUGAUGCUGGCUUCGCUCAGCGGGUCGGGGAUCCGGCAUUGCCAUGAGCUGUGGUGAAGGUCAGAGACGUGCCUCGGAUCCCAUGUUGCUAUGGCUGUGGUAUAGGCUAGCAGCUACAUCUCCAAUAGGACUCCUAGUCUGGGAACUUCCAUAUGCCUCGGGUGAGGCCCUAAAAAAAAAAAAAAAAAAGAAAAAAG